UGGGGAAUAUUGCACAAUGGAGGGAACUCUGCUGCAGCGACGCCGCGUGAGUGAUGAAGGAAUUCGUUUCGUAAAACUCUGUUCUAUGGGAAGAAAAGGACUGUACCAUAGGAGAAAGCUCCGGCUAAAUACGUGCCAGCAGCCGCGGUAAUACGUAUGGAGCGAGCGUUGUCCGGAAUUAUUGGGCGUAAAGGGUGCGCAGGCGGCUUUACAAGUUGGAUGUGAAAUAUUGUGGCUCAACCACAAACGUGCAUCCAAAACUGCAAAGCUUGAGUUAAGGAGAGGUAAGUGGAAUUCCUGGUGUAGCGGUGGAAGGCGUAGAUAUCAGGAGGAAUACCGGUGGCGAAGGCGACUUACUGGACUUAAACUGACGCUCAGGCACGAAAGCGUGGGGAGCAAACAGG
rnacentral:rRNA from 1 species